UGGUUAAUAUUCCAUUACUUCUGUGUAAUGCGAUGAGAGGACGGAGAAGGCUAAAUCAGCCUGGCGUUGGUUGUCCAGGUGAAAGGAUGUAGGCAUGUAUCUUAGGCAAAUCCGGGGUACUCUAUGCUGAGAUCUGAUAGCAAGCUGUACUUGUACAGCGAAGUGGUUGAUGCCAUGCUUCCAGGAAAAGUCUCUAAGCUUCAGUUACACAGGAAUCGUACCCGAAACCGACACAGGUGGUCAGGUCGAGUAGACCAAGGCGCUUGAGAGAACUCUGCUGAAGGAACUAGGCAAAAUGGUACCGUAACUUCGGGAGAAGGUACGCUGUUGUUGGUGAUGGAACUCGCUUCCUGAGCUGACGACAGCCGCAGAAACCAGGCCGCUGCAACUGUUUAUUAAAAACAUAGCACUCUGCAAACACGAAAGUGGACGUAUAGGGUGUGAUGCCUGCCCGGUGCUGGAAGGUUAAUUGAUGGGGUUAGCGUAAGCGAAGCUCUUGAUCGAAGCCCCAGUAAACGGCGGCCGUAACUAUAACGGUCCUAAGGUAGCGAAAUUCCUUGUCGGGUAAGUUCCGACCUGCACGAAUGGCAUAAUGAUGGCGGCGCUGUCUCCAGCAGAGGCUCAGUGAAAUCGAAAUCGCUGUGAAGAUGCAGUGUACCCGCGGCUAGACGGAAAGACCCCGUGAACCUUUACUGCAGCUUGACACUGAACUUUGACCUUACUUGUGUAGGAUAGGUGGGAGGCUUUGAAGCUGGAACGCUAGUUCCAGUGGAGCCGUCCUUGAAAUACCACCCUGGUAAUGUUGAGGUUCUAACUCUGUCCCGUGAUCCGGGACGAGGACCGUGUCUGGUGGGUAGUUUGACUGGGGCGGUCUCCUCCUAAAGAGUAACGGAGGAGUACGAAGGUGCGCUCAGCGUGGUCGGAAAUCACGCGUAGAGUAUAAAGGCAAAAGCGCGCUUAACUGCGAGACCCACAAGUCGAGCAGGUACGAAAGUAGGUCUUAGUGAUCCGGUGGUUCUGUAUGGAAGGGCCAUCGCUCAACGGAUAAAAGGUACUCUGGGGAUAACAGGCUGAUACCGCCCAAGAGUUCAUAUCGACGGCGGUGUUUGGCACCUCGAUGUCGGCUCAUCUCAUCCUGGGGCUGAAGCAGGUCCCAAGGGUAUGGCUGUUCGCCAUUUAAAGAGGUACGCGAGCUGGGUUUAGAACGUCGUGAGACAGUUCGGUCCCUAUCUACCGUGGGCGCUGGAAAUUUGAGAGGAUCUGCUCCUAGUACGAGAGGACCAGAGUGGACGAACCUCUGGUGUACCGGUUGUGACGCCAGUCGCAUCGCCGGGUAGCUAUGUUCGGAAGGGAUAACCGCUGAAAGCAUCUAAGCGGGAAGCCUACCUCAAGAUAAGAUUUCCCUAGGACUUUAUGUCCUCUAAAGAGCCGUUCGAGACU
rnacentral:rRNA from 1 species